rnacentral:lncRNA from 1 species
CUGAAUCUGUGUUUUUCGGCAGGCACCGACCGUCACGAGCUAACUUCCUGGAAGAGCUUCCCGUCUAUUUUCAAAUUCUUUACCGAAGCCUCUGAGGCAAAGACCAGUUCCCUCAAGCCGACUCUGACACGACGCUCCCACCGAAUAAAGCACGAAGAGCUGUAAGAGGAGAGCGAGCGAGACGGGGGAGGGGAAGCCAAGGAACCACUCUGGAGCAUGCAUCCACACGUCGCCUAACUGCUUGCUGUCGGGGAGCAGACUCCCAGCCCCUCAUUAGAUUGUUUUCUUCCUAGAGCACAGGGUCGUGAUAUAUACAUCUAAAUAGCGUUUUGCAUUAUUUCUAGAUGAGUGCAACUGUCAAAGCAAUAUGGGUUCACUGGUCGUGCUUCCUGCGGGCUGAGCUCGGGCUUCGCGCUGCCCGUCAGCGCGCAGAUUAAGGCUGACAGCGCCCUGCCUGGCGCGGCCGGCGCUGCUCUAAUUGCCCUGACGGAGCCCGCGCGGGCGCUGCGGGGCGAGCGGCGUCUGCGCGGUCCUACCGCCCGCUGCAGCGCAGCCGCUGCUUUCUUCACCCGCCCACCCCCUAAUCAUGUCCAUUUUUCCCGCUCUGAGAGGAGCAAGCUUUUAUUCUAGACUUCAAACUUUUCAUUUUAACCAAGUUUUUCCUCAAGGGCAUAUUAUGCCCCCCCUUAGAAAGUGCCGCCCAUUGCCAAAUUUAAAUUCAGAACAUGAAUGCGAUGAUGUACUGUGUAGUUUUGGGAGUGCAAAUUGUUCUCUUCCUAACGAUCUAUUUUCAUUUCGAGAAGAAAAUCUUUGCAUAAAAAAUCUAUUAAAGUACCGAAUCUGCUUUACUGCUGAAAAUCCUUACAAGUUGAAUGUGAGACUUUUACAGUCUCUAAUUUCAGAAGAGACCACUUAAACCAAAACAUAAUGAGCAGAUCUUUAAAGUAUAGGUGGGAAAGUUCUAAUUUUCAAUGGAAUUUCCAGCUUUCUGAUUAGGAUUGACUUUACUUUUUAUAUUUGUAAUGUGUAUUGAGUGGUAUUGUGAUUUAGAUAACACACUUAAGUUCUGCUUCUUAAGUCUCAGCUGUGGAGAAAGGUGGUGGUGGUGGUUGUCUUUGUUGUUGUUAAUCCUUACUAGAGUGAUCUACUUAGAGUUUUCCUGAGCUACAGAUAGAAUUUUUUAUUAUCAUCAGGAAAAUAAAGCUCUACUCUGGAGCCUUUUCCUUCCGAAAGGCUAAGAAGGGCUAAAAUGAUUCUUUCUGUUUUCUUCUCCAAUGGGGAAAGAGAGAUUUAGUGUGAAAGAUUUUCUCCUCUUGGCCCAGUGGCAUAAUUUUUAGUACUCCACUUCCUAUGUAGGGUUUUACCCUACAGUUUCAACAAUUAAGUAUUUUAAUAAAGUUAAGAUUGGCCAACACUGAAAUAUAAGGGAUAAAAUAAGUUCAGAUUUUUCUGACUUUCAAUUUAAAAUAUUAAAAAUUAACAUUAUCAAUUUUUAAUUACUUGACUUUAAUUAUCUAGUGAAGAUUGUAAUAGAUGAGGUUCUGAAUUUAAUAUUUUUCAUCCUUUUUAAAAGCAUAUGCAACAACUAAUAUGCCUGCCUUAUUUGAGAACAUGAUAAAAUGUACCCAAAAUGACUUAGCACUCUUUAAUGCCUCAGAAAAAAUAACCUGAAAUCAAUCACCUCAUGGAUAAAUUUUUUAUAUUAUGUAUCAAUUGCAGCAAAUUUUAAAACCUGAAUAAUAUUUCAUGCUGUGUUUGGAAUACAAGCACAUUCAUUAGUUCUAUAGUUUCAAUGAUGGCAAACUAAAGUGAUCUUUUUUCAGUGGUUGUGUCUGUAUCUUUUGAUGUUAUUUAAGCAGAAACAACCGUAAGAGGAAAAAUCAAAAUGGCAUUUUAUACAGCUUCUGGGUGGUUUAAAAUGUAAUCUCAACAAUGUCAAGCACAUUGGUCUGUGGUACUGACCCUUUUUUAUCUGAUCUUUCCGAUUUUAGAAGUAAUAGUAGACUAUGUAAAAUAAUGGUAUCUUCCAGUGAGAGGAUUUGAGAAUUGAUGUGAAUUGAAUAUAUUUUUCCAAGUGUUACAAAUUGUGUGGUGUUUUCAGUAUAUGAAAAUGUUCACAAGAAACUAAUUUUGUAGCAUUUAAAAAAAAAACAACACUUGUGCAAUGCUAAAUUUGCGAAGCUUCUGCAGCUGAAUUAAAGCAAAGUAAAUAUGCUCAAUUUAUAAACCAAAAGACUCCUAUUCCUUCUCUCCAAUUUUCUCUCCAAUUUUCUCACCUCUUUUUAAAAAAUCUUUACUUGUAACUAGAGAAAAAUCACUGUUUAAUUGCCUUUAAUACUUUAAAACUGCUGGAUUGUAAAGCCUUGUUUAACUAUCUAUAGAGAGAUAUUUGCAAACUUAAGUUGUGUAAAUGUAAUUUCUACUUGUGGAUCUGAGCUGUGGCAACCCAGAGAGAGCUAGGCAAACCAUUCCAGACCACCUACUGAUUACUGAUCAGAUUCCUUGUUUGUAAUGUAGGAUUCUUUAACCUGUUGAUUAUGGCUCUGUUGGUAUAAAGUGUAGUGAUAUUGUGAACUCAAUUUUCCUGCAGUAACAAUAGCAGUUGGUAGUAGCCGCCUGCUUAUGGGUGGCCAGUGUUAACAGUAUUUCUGCUCUGAUCUUCUCCCCAUUUUGGUGCCCUUGGGUAUUUUAGGUGAACAGAGAUUUAAAGUAAAGAUAUAGAGUCUUUAUUUUAAUUACAUGCUUAGUAUGUAGAGCAAGUGGAUGGAAAAGGAGUUGUUGAUAAUGUAAGAUUCAAAAUAGUCCUGUCAAAACUUAAAAGCCACCUAAGCUUUGCAACUUUCUAAAGGUACCUAACCAUACAGUCAUUAAAAAUCUUCAUGGAUAUUUGAAAGGGAUACCAUCAACUUGUCAUACUUGUUCUUUUCUCAUAUUUCUGCCUUGUGCUUCAGUCGGGUUGCAUUCUUGUUGAUAUGUCAAAAAAAAAAAAAAGAUAAGGCACAGGCAUUUCCUGUAUAUUAUAUAUUUCUGUUCACCAUUUUUAAAUAAAAAGUUUUUCUCAACAAGCAGCAGUGUAUUAUUCUUGCUCAGAGUUCCUUUAUUCACCAGCUAUAUAGAGG